rnacentral:rRNA from 1 species
GGGAGUAUGGUUGCAAAGCUGAAACUUAAAGAAAUUGACGGAAGGGCACCACCAGGAGUGGAGCCUGCGGCUUAAUUAGACUCAACACUGGGAAGCUCACCCGGUCUGGACACUCUGAGGAUUGACGGAAUCUCGAAGCUCCUUCUCGAUUUAGUGGCUGGUGGUGCAUGGCCGUUCUUAGUUGGUGGAGUGAUCUGUCUGGUUUAUUCCGGUAACGAUCGAGACUCCAGCCAACUCAAUAGUUACUGGACGUUUUCGUCUAGUUAACUUCUUAGAGGGAUUAGUGGCGUUUAGUCACACGAGAAGGAGCGAUAACAGGUCUGUGAUGCCCUUAGAUGUCCGGGGCUGCACGCGCGCCACACUGGGAGAAUCACUAGGUGUUCCAUUGCCGAAAGGUAUUGGUAAUCCUUUUGAACCUCUCCCCGUGGCCGGGAUAGGGAUUUGUAAUUAUUUCCCUUGAACGAGGAAUUCCUAGUAAGUGUGAGUCAUCAACUCACGUUG